GUCUUCAGCCAUGCCACCCUGAACAAGCCCGAUCCUGUCUGAUCUUGGAAGCUAAGCAGGGUCGGGCCUGGUUAGUACUUGGAUGGGAGACCACCUAGGAAAACCAGGUGCUGUAAGCA
rnacentral:rRNA from 1 species